rnacentral:rRNA from 1 species
UUCGMMYGUUCUAUAMUGGCRGUCGAGCGWGSUGAAUKSAAAGAUYCCUUCGGGRUGAUUUGUUGGRCGCUMGCGGSGGAUGGGUGAGURACACGUGGGSAAKCUGCCCUAAAGACUGGGAUACCACUUGGAAACAGGUGCUAAUACCGGAUAACRACAUGAAUCGCAUGAUUCAAGUUUGAAAGGSGGCGCAAGCUGUCACUUUAGGAUGAGSCCGCGGSGSAUUAGCUAGUUGGUGGGGUAAAGGCCUACCAAGGCAAUGAUGCGUAGCCGAGUUGAGAGACUGAUCGGCCACAUUGGGACUGAGACACGGCCCAAACUCCUACGGGAGGCAGCAGUAGGGAAUCUUCCACAAUGGACGCAAGUCUGAUGGAGCAACGCCGCGUGAGUGAAGAAGGUCUUCGGAUCGUAAAGCUCUGUUGUUGGUGAAGAAGGAUAGAGGCAGUAACUGGUCUUUAUUUGACGGUAAUCAACCAGAAAGUCACGGCUAACUACGUGCCAGCAGCCGCGGUAAUACGUAGGUGGCAAGCGUUGUCCGGAUUUAUUGGGCGUAAAGCGAGCGCAGGCGGAAUGAUAAGUCUGAUGUGAAAGCCCACGGCUCAACCGUGGAACUGCAUCGGAAACUGUCAUUCUUGAGUGCAGAAGAGGAGAGUGGAACUCCAUGUGUAGCGGUGGAAUGCGUAGAUAUAUGGAAGAACACCAGUGGCGAAGGCGGCUCUCUGGUCUGCAACUGACGCUGAGGCUCGAAAGCAUGGGUAGCGAACAGGAUUAGAUACCCUGGUAGUCCAUGCCGUAAACGAUGAGCGCUAGGUGUUGGGGACUUUCCGGUCCUCAGUGCCGCAGCAAACGCAUUAAGCGCUCCGCCUGGGGAGUACGACCGCAAGGUUGAAACUCAAAGGAAUUGACGGGGGCCCGCACAAGCGGUGGAGCAUGUGGUUUAAUUCGAAGCAACGCGAAGAACCUUACCAGGUCUUGACAUCCUGCGCUACACCUAGAGAUAGGUGGUUCCCUUCGGGGACGCAGAGACAGGUGGUGCAUGGGCUGUCGUCAGCUCGUGUCGUGAGAUGUGGGUUAGUCCCGCACGAGCGCAACCCUUGUCUUUARGUGGCAUUCAUAAGAUGGGCACUCUAGAAGARACUKGCAGGUGACGACCGGAAGGAAGCGUGGGCA